AGGGUUUGAUCAUGGCUCAGAUUGAACGCUGGCGGCAUGCCUUACACAUGCAAGUCGAACGGCAGCACGGGGGCAACCCUGGUGGCGAGUGGCGAACGGGUGAGUAAUAUAUCGGAACGUGCCAAGUAGUGGGGGAUAACUAGUCGAAAGAUUAGCUAAUACCGCAUACGCUCUACGGAGGAAAGUGGGGGAUCGCAAGACCUCAUGCUAGUUGAGCGGCCGAUAUCUGAUUAGCUAGUUGGUGGGGUAAAAGCCUACCAAGGCGACGAUCAGUAGCUGGUCUGAGAGGACGACCAGCCACACUGGGACUGAGACACGGCCCAGACUCCUACGGGAGGCAGCAGUGGGGAAUUUUGGACAAUGGGGGCAACCCUGAUCCAGCAAUGCCGCGUGAGUGAAGAAGGCCUUUGGGUUGUAAAGCUCUUUUGUCCGGGAAGAAACGCGCCAAGCUAAUAUCUUGGUGUAAUGACGGUACCGGAAGAAUAAGCACCGGCUAACUACGUGCCAGCAGCCGCGGUAAUACGUAGGGUGCAAGCGUUAAUCGGAAUUACUGGGCGUAAAGCGUGCGCAGGCGGUUGUGCAAGACAGAUGUGAGAUCCCCGGGCUUAACCUGGGAAUUGCAUUUGUGACUGCACGGCUAGAGUGUGUCAGANGGGGGUAGAAUUCCACGUGUAGCAGUGAAAUGCGUAGAGAUGUGGAGGAAUACCCGAUGGCGAAGGCAGC
rnacentral:rRNA from 1 species